rnacentral:rRNA from 1 species
CAGCCGCCGCGGGAAUACGGAGGGAGCUAGCGUUAUUCGGAAUUACUGGGCGUAAAGCGCACGUAGGCGGCUUUGUAAGUAAGAGGUGAAAGCCCGGAGCUCAACUCCGGAACUGCCUUUUAGACUGCAUCGCUUGAAUCCAGGAGAGGUGAGUGGAAUUCCGAGUGUAGAGGUGAAAUUCGUAGAUAUUCGGAAGAACACCAGUGGCGAAGGCGGCUCACUGGACUGGUAUUGACGCUGAGGUGCGAAAGCGUAGGGAGCAAACAGGAUUAGAUACCCCAGUAGUCCCUGUCUCUUAUAC